AGUCUACGGGAGGCAGCAGUAGGGAAUCUUCCGCAAUGGACGCAAGUCUGACGGAGCAACGCCGCGUGAGUGAAGAAGGUCUUCGGAUCGUAAAGCUCUGUUGAUGGGGACGAAUGUGCGUGAUGCGAAUAGUGUCAUGCAAUGACGGUACCUAUCGAGGAAGCCACGGCUAACUACGUGCCAGCAGCCGCGGUAAUGACU
rnacentral:rRNA from 1 species